ensembl:lncRNA
GUGCAUAUAGCAGGCGUAUAGUCGCUCAUCUCAUCUCUGCAGUGACUGCUAUGGUUAUACGUAUGUAGGUUGAUAAUAUGGUGUUAUGGUCAUACGUAGGUUGAUAAUAUGGUGUUAUGGUCAUACGUAGGUUGAUAAUAUGGUGUUAUGGUCAUACGUAGGUUGAUAAUAUGGUGUUGUGGUUAUAUAUAGGUUGGUAAUAUGGUGUUGUGGUUAUAUGUAGGUUGAUAAUAUGGUGUUGUGGUUAUAUGUAGGUUGAUAAUAUGGUGUUGUGGUUAUAUGUAGGUUGAUAAUAUGGUGUUGUGGUUAUAUGUAGGUUGAUAAUAUGGUGUUGUGGUUAUAUAUAGGUUGGUAAUAUGGUGUUGUGCCGCUCAGGUGAUCCUGUGUGCAUGGGUGCCGGUGAUGAUGUAGUAUUGAUGCACACAGCAGCUGUGUGUCUCUGGUCAGUGUUGUGACAACGUCUUUAUGUAUUGAUCAAGUGAGCUCUUGUGCAUUAGUGCAAAUCUGGAUGCAGUGGAGUUGAUGCAUACAGCAGUACACGCUGGUGUCUGUAAAGAGUGUUAAAGAGUGAUAAUGUCUACUCAGGAGUUUGCUGCAAGUGUUUGAGUCAUAUAGCAGAUGUGUAAUCUAUUAUAUCUGUAAAGUGUGUUGUGUUAAUGUCUUAUUAUGUUGUUGAGAUAGUGUUGUAUCUGUUAAGUGUGUUGUGUUAAUGUGUUAUUAUGUUGUUUAGGUGGUGUUGUAUCUAUAAAGUGUGUUGUGUUAAUGUCUUAUUAUGUUGUUUAGGUGGUGUUGUAUACAUAUGUGCCGGGCUCGCUGCGGUGGUGUUUCUGUUAGUGCUCAGUCUGUUCAUGCUCUACACACAGAGGACCAGAGGCAGGAAGUCAUUGGAUCCCCCUGCUGGACACAGACCUAACACUGACUCAGGAAAUACUCAACAGGGUCAGUGUGAUUACUCUGACAUCACUUUCAAUCCUCACGUCUCCACCUCCAGCCCCGCCCCACCCAGCACAGACCCCUCCACCAUCUACGCCAACGUUCAACUGCCGUCCAAUCAGAAUCCAGACUCUCUCCAGUACGCCACCGUGAGAUUCACUGAUCCGCCAGCAGGGGGAGACAAAGGACAAAGCCCCCCGGGGAUAGGGAGAGAGAGAUCAGUCUUAUACUCCAGCAUCAACCUCUAGAGAGAAAGCCCACUUCAUUUAUAGUGCAAGGGCAUACACAUACAAGGGCUUGAAUUUAGGUUUAAGGAGGAAAAGACAAAGAAAGUUAGGGGCUGAGCCUCAGGGAGUCUAAAAGAAGGUUUGAUUUUUUAUUUUAUAUUUUGUUUUCUGUUUCUUACAUCUGCCCAUACGCUUCUGUCAUUAUAUAUAUAUAAUUAAUAUAAUAUUUAAUUAUAUUAUUAUUACAUUAUUACAUUUUAUUAUUAUUUCACUGUUAAGUCCACAUUACAGUCAUUUUCUGUUCGUAUUGCACUGUUCCUGUAGCUCAGUUUGUUACCAGUUAAUUACUUAUUAAUGUAUUAAUUUAUAUCUGCCCAAUGUAUCUAUUUAAAAACAUCCUCUGAGAAUGUAUCUGUUAUCCCUGUAGCAUGCCAUUUAACUAUUGUGUAUUUACUCAUCUUGCUGUGGGUAGUUUACAGUGAUUUCAAAUCAGAAUCAGAAUCAGAAUUGUAUUGCCAAUGAAUGAAUGUCAUGUAAUUGCAAUGGAAGGAUGAAGCAAGACCAAUCCACUCCUACACAUUUCAGUAGUUCUCAUCCUGUCAUGUGAUUCUUCUUGAAGCUUUUUGGCUCAUGAAAGAGAGCUGGUGUUGUAGCCGUUUCGCACAUUUUUGUCCAGAUAUAAGUUUGCAUUGGCCCUGGGUUACUUUGACUGUGUUAUAUGAUUAUAUUGUUUCUGUGUUUGCAUAUUGUUUCUUUAGCUGCAUAUUGGACUACCAUUUAAUUGAACUUUAGGAUUGUUAAUUUGUCACCUGAACCGCCCAUUAAUUAUUGUCACCUGGACGGCUCAUCAGUAGAUUUCACCUGGACGGAUUAUUAGAAGUGUCACCUGGAUAGCUCAUUAGGAGAUGACUGGAUAGCAAAAUGUUGGGUCUAGAGGCGUGUAAAAGAUACAGUUUUUUGACCACUUUUCGAUACUAGUUUAGCCUUUUUAGUUUACUGUAGUUAACUUUGCUUUAUUGUUUGAAUUUACUACUCGUUUAUGUUCACCUUUUUGGAGCCAAAAUAAAUGGAUUAUUCUUUCAACUUUUGGAGUAUCGAGAGUGCGUAAUCCACUACCUGCUGACCAGACCCACGGCCUUGACUGGAACUUGGAGAUGGAAAAUUAGAAAUCAUAGAAAGGCCGCCACAGCUGGUCCUUCUUGAAGCUUUUGGCUCAUGAAAGAGAGCUGGUCCUUCUUGAAGCUUUUGGCACUGAUGAAGGAGAGCUGGACACUAGUGCUUCUGCUUGUGCUUGUGCCUAAAACUGGAGGGUUUGCACUGAAACCAUAAGCAUAUUGGUGAAAUGACCAGUGGUGUGCCUAGAAUAGAAAACAUGUUAAUGUUAUCAAAGAUGAAAAGAGGUAAACCAGAAUCUCAGGAAAUAAACUAAUUAAACACAGCCUCUGUUUGUGUCUGUUAAGAUAUCUCUAAUGUAUGUUUUUUUUAAGUUUGUUUAUUUCUGUGUACUACUUUUCAUUUAAAAAGAAGUCACAGACAAGAAUGGAGAGUGAAUGGGCCACUUCAUAUCAGUUUAUAUGUGACUUGGUAUGGAAU